ensembl:snRNA U6 U6 spliceosomal RNA
GUGCUUAUUUUGGCAGCACUUAUACUGAAAUCAGAAUGACGCAGAGAAGAUUAGUAUGGCCCCUGUGCAAAGAUGACAAUGCAAAUUUGUCAUAUUUUUGACAAUUCU